UAUUGCACAAUGGGCGAAAGCUGAUGCAGCCAUGCCGCGUGUGUGAAGAAGGCCUUCGGGUUGUAAAGCACUUUCAGCGAGGAGGAAAGGUUACUGGCUAAUAUCCAGUAGCUGUGACGUUACUCGCAGAAGAAGCACCGGCUAACUCCGUGCCAGCAGCCGCGGUAAUACGGAGGGUGCGAGCGUUAAUCGGAAUUACUGGGCGUAAAGCGUGCGCAGGCGGUUUGUUAAGCGAGAUGUGAAAGCCCCGGGCUCAACCUGGGAACUGCAUUUUGAACUGGCAAACUAGAGUCUUGUAGAGGGGGGUAGAAUUCCAGGUGUAGCGGUGAAAUGCGUAGAGAUCUGGAGGAAUACCGGUGGCGAAGGCGGCCCCCUGGACAAAGACUGACGCUCAUGCACGAAAGCGUGGGGAGCAAACAGGAUUAGAUACCCUGGUAGUCCACGCCGUAAACGAUGUCUACUCGGAGUUUGGUGUCUUGAACACUGGGCUCUCAAGCUAACGCAUUAAGUAGACCGCCUGGGGAGUACGGCCGCAAGGUUAAAACUCAAAUGAAUUGACGGGGGCCCGCACAAGCGGUGGAGCAUGUGGUUUAAUUCGAUGCAACGCGAAGAACCUUACCUACUCUUGACAUCC
rnacentral:rRNA from 1 species